UCCUGUAGCUCUACAAAUAAUGCAAACAACGUUCUGCUGCACCCUUUUUUUUUUUUUCAAAUAACAUUUGAACAUAUGUUUUAUAUGGAGAUGCUGAUGGACAGCAACAUCUGCUGCUCCCUGUCGGCUCACGCACUCUUAUUUGGAUUGUAAUUACUUCAUCGGCUGCGAGCUGUCCUGUGUUUGCCCACUAUCUGUUUCUGUCAGGUCUCGGGCUCCUACAAACUACCCAUUAUGUAGUGAGGAUAAUUAAAUCUCCCCUCCACCAGGCAGGUCUGAGCAGUGCAAGAAGGGCCUUCCUUGUCCGGGCAGCUGCCAAAGAAGAUGCAGCUCAUAAUGAUGCCUUAAUCACCUGCCUGCUAGACAAUGGACGGGACCACCUAUUUGUUUCAAACAAGCUAUUUUAGCAGCUGUCAGAUGCUAAUGGCUUUCAGCUGCUGACAACCUGUGCCCUAUGCAAACCAGGGGACAUAUCAUGGAAAUGUGCAUAAAUAUUCAUGUGUGACUAACAAAACCAAAAGUGCAAGUAUGGUUAUCAGAGCUCUCGCACGAAUAUAUCGUGGCCUGCCCUGUUGUGUUGGUUUCAGUACGAUGAAUGAGAUGCAAAUGUUUUAAAGUGAUGUUGCCCUUUUAUUUUUGAGAGAAAAAGUCCGCUGAAGGCAGUGGGACUGCAGAGAUUCUGGAUAACUGUGGUGAGAGGACAUAUUCAGAUUAUGGUACAUGGUACGAAUAAAGAAGAUUCUGUAACAAUGGAGUCAGUGGAAAGACCAAUGGUCAUCUUGAAACUCUCCCUUGGCGUAAUGCCAGAAGUAACCACGAGACAGGAGGUGAGAGCCCAAACUCAAGACUGGCCCAGCCCAAUGUCAGCAGACAGCCUCUGUCAUCGUCUAAAAAGAACGUUUCGGUAUUGCUGGGACUUCCUGCUUCUCCACCUCUCUUCAUCAGAAUACGAUGUUCAGAUACAACUGAUGAGGCAUUCGGGCUCCGAUAGCAUGUGCUUCCACCCAGUUCCUCCAGCUAGCUCCGUGGAAGCUCUCCCGGCACCUCGCACAGACCUAGAGACCCCCUCUGUGCCUCACCAGAGGAGCUGUGGUGACACGGCUCCGCACAGCAGGGCUCUCCUGGGCUCCGGCGGGUGACCAUCGCAGCACUCUGCUAUGAAAUCACUUGAAACAGCAAGAGCAGAACUGCUGCAUGAUUCGUACAGGUGAAGGUUUGAGCCUGCCCCGGGGCAAAAAUAAUCCCGUGAAACUCCCAGGGGCUCGCUCACAUCUCCUGCCCUGAGCUGGCUCUCGGGCCCGGCCUCGUGCUUGUGCAUCUCUGGGGGCAAACCUGGCCGGGCACGGGGCCGCCACGUCGGCUCGGGACAGGAGAGUCCUGCAUGGCCCCCGGCUGUCACUGGGCUUUACCUCGGGGAGAAACCUCCACAAAACCACUCGUAGAAUUUUUAUAGCAAAAUAAAAGCUGCCUGGAAUGAUUUGUUGGUCA
rnacentral:lncRNA from 1 species